rnacentral:rRNA from 1 species
GAUGAACGCUGGCGGCGUGCCUAAUACAUGCAAGUCGAGCGAACAGACGAGGAGCUUGCUCCUCUGACGUUAGCGGCGGACGGGUGAGUAACACGUGGAUAACCUACCUAUAAGACUGGGAUAACUUCGGGAAACCGGAGCUAAUACCGGAUAAUAUAUUGAACCGCAUGGUUCAAUAGUGAAAGACGGUUUUGCUGUCACUUAUAGAUGGAUCCGCGCCGCAUUAGCUAGUUGGUAAGGUAACGGCUUACCAAGGCAACGAUGCGUAGCCGACCUGCGAGGGUGAUCGGCCACACUGGAACGGAGACACGGACCAGACUCCUACGGGAGGCAGCAGAAGGGAAUCUUCCGCAAUGGGCGAAAGCCUGACGGAGCAACGCGGCGUGAGAGAUGAAGGUCUUCGGAUCGUAAAACUCUGUUAUUAGGGAAGAACAAAUGUGGAAGUAACUAUGCACGUCUUGACGGUACCUAAUCAGAAAGCCACGGCUAACUACGUG